UACGGAGGUGGCGAGCGUUGCUCGGAUUCAUUGGGUGUAAAGGGUCGGUAGGCGGUUCGGUAAGUGCCCGGUGAAAUUCUACGGCUCAACCGUAGAACGUUCGGGUAGACUGCCAAACUUGAGGACUGGAGGGGCAAGCGGAAUUCCCGGUGUAAGGGUGAAAUCUGUAGAUAUCGGGAGGAACACCAGUGGCGAAGGCGGCUUGCUGGACAGUCCCUGACGCUGAGCGACGAAAGCGUGGGGAGCAAACAGG
rnacentral:rRNA from 1 species